rnacentral:hammerhead_ribozyme from 1 species
CUCCUGAUGAGGAGUCCCACAAUAGGACGAAACGGCCGUCCAGUGC